CUCUGCUCUUGGGCUUGAGCAGACUCUGGCCAGCAGCGGUGUGACACCUUGCCGGCCUCCAUGUACAGCAGCAAUUUACUGAGCCCUCCACCAUAGCUCACUCGCGCAGGAAGUUUUAGCCCAGCACCCUGCCCCACGCUGGUGACCGACUAGGGCAUUGCCCGCAGGAUCAGUCCCGCCUUCUCCUGCUGGAAGGUGAUAAAGUGCCUGAGAGCCGCUGGAAGCUAUUCACCAAUAAAUUCAAAGGGAAAGGCCAUUUCUCGUGCCUUGGAAGGAGAGUUGAGGGAUGCUGGAAGGCAGAGAAGACCGAAACGGCGUGUCGCACAGCAGCGUGGCAGGAGGCACCGGAGCAAAGUUUCUGAGACUGGGGUGAACUGUGCAAGCAGCAUCGCAGGCUGAAUCCAUUGGGAAGGUGCACAUGGUUGAGCAUCGGCCUGCCCAGAGCACUGCAGCGCCUUUGUUUGCCUUGGUGGGUGUCUGUGGAGCUGGGUACGGAUUCAACCACCUGGCCUGGGAAGCAUAGGCAGGGCUGAGCAGCAGUGGCCCAAACGCCAGCCCUUGGGGUGCCACACCGACAGUGACUUCAGCUUUGACCUGUUGGUGCAGUGACUGGUCAGGGAGCAUCCCCUGAGGACCCACUAUUAAAAGCCACCUUUCCCUUCAACACUCAUCCCAGAGAACCUGGUGGAAACAUGUCUGGAGCCCUGAAAAGUCUGCCUUGGCUGUGACAGCUACUGAUCCCGUCCCCCACGUGUCCAAGGGAGAGCAGAUCAGCUUAAUUAAGCACUGGGGAAGCAAUAUGAUAUGCUUC